GUUUGCUUGAAGUUAUAAGCAAUUUGGCCUGCCCCCUGAUUUUAAGUAUUAAAGGGCCGCAGUAUUAAUAACUGUGCAAAGGUAGCAUAAUCAUUAGGUUUUUAAUUGGAAUCUUGUAUGAAUGGUUAGACAAAAGAACAACUCUCUUUAUGUUAAUAUUGAAUUUAACUUUUAAGUGAAAAGGCUUAAAUAAGCUAAGGGGACGAUAAGACCCUAUAAAACUUUAUAUUGUGAUUAUAUUUUAGUGAAUUUUUGAAUAAAGAUUUAAUUUAGUUAUUUGUUAUGUUGGGGAGAUAUAAGUAAAAUAUUAUUUUAACUGCUUAGUAAAUUAUGUACAAGUUAUUAGUGAUAAUUGUAAAAGAUCCUUUUUAAAGAUUAGUAGAUUAAGUUACUUUAGGGAUAACAGCGUAAUUUCUUUUAAGAGUUCUUAUCGAAAAAGAGGGUUGCGACCUCGAUGUUGAAUUAAAAAUUCUAUAUAAUGAAGAUAUUAUAUAAGAAGGUCUGUUCGACCUUUAAAUUUUUACAUGAUUUGAGUUCAAACCGGUGUGAG
rnacentral:rRNA from 1 species